CUUCCAGCCUGGAAGAUAGACUUGAUGGCUGGAGCACCACCUGCCAUCUUGGACCAUGAGGUGACCUUGAAGAUGGAAACUAUAUGCUGAGUACGACUGACUGCCUCACUUAUGUACACAACCUCCUGGGCUCCUGAAGGCAUUCAUGAGGACCACCCUUGGAAAUGAUUCUUUCAACCUGCGACUUUACAAAUGGAGGGAGUGGAGAGAAUUCACCGAGAAUGUUUCAGCUUGCACUAGGAAAUGAUUCACUAGCAAUGAACCGAAAUACGGACGCACUGAUAACAGACAACAAGUAACACAGCGCGCGGCUCCAAUGUUAAUUUCGAAUUUCUCUCCAUUAAGAGAAAGCCAUAGGAUUAAGGAAGCAUUUCUCAGUCAUGCUGGACUUCAAUUCCAAUUGGGUCGGAGUCCGUAUUUUCUUGUAUCUGGACUUGAAGGAUUUUCAGUCUGUCUUUAUCAACUAUAGACUGUUCACUCAUCAACUAUGGGUCCAGACUUCUAACUACUGUUGCUUCCCGGUUGCUGCUGAAUAGAUCGUACAAGGUGGGAUAUCAGUUGGCCCCACUUGAAUGGAAGCUCUUUGAGGCCAGAAAUCACGUCUGCUGUUCUCACCACCGUCUCACCAGCACCAAGCAUACGGGGCCUGGAGCAUAGCGGUCACCCAGGGCUUCAGAGAGACAGAGUGUGAGUCGGGGAGGAGCAAAGAGAGAGAGAGACACACACAGAAU